GAUGUUAGCUCAAUGGCAGGGCAUCUGCUUUGCAUGCAGAAGGUCCCAGGUUCAAUCCCUGGCAUCUCCA